GGGGCUGAAGUCCUGCGCUGGGUUUUCCGCCGUGUGCUGCGCUCCAAAAGUCUCCUCGCCUCCUUUUACCAGACAGAAAUGUUGCCAGAUGGUUUAGAAUCGCGGACGCACCAAAGACACCGCACUCCUGCGGUCAGAGGGUGAGGCAGCCUGAACUCCUCCGGACCGACAGAUCCGCUGCGCCGAGCCGGCCGGUGGUCAAGGAGUACGUGCACCUGAAGCACAAGAAGGAAGAAGAAAUGCCAUUUGUGCCUUAACUGGGCCGUCCUUCGCACGUGCUGGCUGACUCCCAGCGCUCGUUCAACCUAGGCCCUAAAUGGCUGAUGCACGGCGGUUCUUCACUGGCGAGCUUUAUGUUCCUGUACACAUGCUAAAGCUGCCAGCUGAAGAACUGCUCUGGUCAGCCCUGCCCCGGAUGAGUCAAGAAGAGGAAGCGGAUGGAGGGGGGUGGUGGAAAGAGGACUGAGGAGAGGACUGUUUCACACGCUAUGUCAGGCUGGACGUUAAUAACACACCAGAUUUCAGCAGCUACAUUGUUCAAAUUUCUGCUUUCAUCCCAGUAAAGCAGCGUGUCAGGCAUAUUUCAAUCAGUUUAAAAUUAUUGUACUUUAGGGAUCCCACUUUUCCUUGCCUUUUCUAAUAAAAGUGCUUAAAUUUUGUGCUCGUUUUAAAACAAAGAACCUAUACUGUCCUUUUUAAAGUUGGCAAAAGCAAAUUUGUGCAAU